UACGGUAGGGGCAAGCGUUGUCCGGAUUUAUUGGGCGUAAAGAGCGUGUAGGCGGCCAGACAGGUCAGCUGUGAAAACUCGAGGCUCAACCUCGAGACGUCGGUUGAAACCGUCUGGCUAGAGUCCGGAAGAGGAGAGUGGAAUUCCCGGUGUAGCGGUGAAAUGCGCAGAUAUCGGGAAGAACACCAGUGGCGAAGGCGGCUCUCUGGGGUAUUGCUGACGCUGAGGCACGAAAGCCAGGGGAGCGAACGGG
rnacentral:rRNA from 1 species